GGGGAUAUAGCUCAGUUAGUAGAGUGCUUGCCUUGCAUGCACAAGGCCCUGGGUUAAAACCCUGGCAUCACCA
rnacentral:tRNA from 1 species